rnacentral:lncRNA from 1 species
GUGCUGUGAGAUAUAGAGCACUGGUAUUAUCAUUUGAAUGCCAAUUCUGAAGUACCCAGAGAGCAAAUGGGUGACAGAGGCCAUGGUUUGCUUUCCCCACAGCCAUUCUACACCUCUUUCAAGGCCAGUUGUGUUCAUGUCGCAUCUGGCUUUAUGUCCGGCGCCCAGGAAUGAAUCACGGUUGAGCUAAAUGAAUCACGGAAAUCUCAUUCCUUCUUUGCUCCUUUGAGGCAGGCAUGUGAUUCAACAGAGAUCCAGAACACUUGGGGAAAGAUACUCCUCCGUGAUAGAAGGAGAGAGCUCUCCCCGCCUCCUAGCUUGGACGUUGUCUUGUGAGGACUUGGUGCUAUGUGCUGCAGCUGCACAGAGCUGGCACCAGAAAAAGGAAAGCCAAGAGCAGCCGAUCGCGGGCCCUGACGCCGUGGAAACAGUACAUGAACCACCUCUGGGACUGCCAAUCUCCAGACUUCUGAUGUGCGAUUUGUGAGUAAAAUUUUGUGGCUUACAUCAGACAUUCUCCUACCUAAAGGCACAAAGGGGAGAAACAAUGGGUGAUGGAAACGAUCAAGUCUUACCAGUGGAUGAAAUUGAACAAGUUUUUCCAGCAGGCUCAAUUCCUUGCCCUCUUGUCUCCGUCGGCUUUGCUUUAUUGUGGUUCACUUCUUUUUUUUUUUUUUUUUUUUUUUUUUUUUUUUUUGAGACGGAGUCUCGCUCUCGCCCAGGCUGGAGUGCAGUGGCGUGAUCUCUGCUCACUGCAGGCUCCGCCUCCUGGGUUCACGCCAUUCUCCUGCCUCAGCCUCCCCAGCAGCUGGGACUACAGGCGCCCGCCACCUCGCCCGGCUAAUUUUUUGUAUUUUUAGUAGAGACGGGGUUUCACCGUGUUAGCCAGGAUGGUAUCGAUCUCCUGACCUCGUGAUCCGCCUGCCUCAGCCUCCCAAAGUGCUGGGAUUACAGGCGUGAGCCACCGCUCCCAGCCUGUGGUUCACUUCUUAGAUUGCAGCAAGCGGCUGGGCGUGGUGGCUCAUGCCUAUAAUCCCAGCACUUUGGGAAGCUGAGGUGGGAGGAUCACUUGAGCCCAGGAGUUUGAGACCAACCUGGCAACAUAGUGAGACUGUAUCUCGACAAAAAAUUUAAAAAUUAGCUGAGUGUGGGGGCACAUACCUGUAGUCCCAGCUACUAGGGAGGCUGAGGUGGGAGGAUCACUUGAUCCCAGGAGGUUGAGGCUGCAGUGAGCUGUGAUUGUGUCACUGCACUCAAGCCUGGGUAACUCUGUCUCAAAAAUUAACUAAUUAAUUAAUUAAUUGCAGCAGUUAGUAAACUUCUGAGGCAAAACAAAAAUGGUAAAUGAAUUUAAAAGUAAGUGGCUACAAGGAAAUGAAUUAAAAUAUGAGGAAUGUGUGAUUACGUGAACAGCGGGCACUGAGGACAGGCAAUGGGCCAGGAGAGCUACCCCCACCAGCAUCAGGAAGCUGAGACAGAGAAGGGAGCGGGCACAGGACUGCAGAGGUGGGUAAAGGGGAGUCCACGACUUCCAAGGGAAAAACUCCAAGGAAAAGCCUCCACUUGGAAUGUGUCACCCAGCUCUCUGUCUGGACAAAUGCAACUCCUUAGUCCCAUGAUCAGCCAAACAUUUUGUCUUUCUUUCCAUAAAAGUUAUUGCUAUGGCCUGAAUGUGUCCCCCAAAAUUCCUAUGUUGAAACGUAAUCACCAGUGUGAUAGUAGUAUUAAGAGGUGGGGCCUUUAGGAGGUGAUUAAGUCAUCCCCGUGACUAGUGGGAUUAGUGCCCUUGUCAAAGAGGUUGAAGGAAGCACCACAGUCCCCGUCACCCCUUUUGCCAUCUGAAGAUGCAGCAAGAGACACCAUCUUGGAAGUGGAGAAGAAGCCCUCACCAGACACCAAACCCGCUGGCACCUUGAUCUUGGACUUCACAGCCUCCAGAAUUGUGAAAAAAUAAAUUUAUAUUGUGACAUUUGUAUAAAUGACCCAGUCUGUGGUCUUUUGUCAUAGCAGCAGGAAUAUACCAAGAUAGUUAUCAACUGA